UACGUAGGGGGCAAGCGUUGUCCGGAAUCAUUGGGCGUAAAGCGCGUGUAGGCGGCUUGGUAAGUCUGCUCUGAAAGCCCGGGGCUCAACCCCGGGAGGCGGGUGGAUACUGUCAAGCUCGAGUCCGGAAGAGGAGUGUGGAAUUCCCAGUGUAGCGGUGAAAUGCGUAGAUAUUGGGAGGAACACCAGUGGCGAAGGCGGCUCACUGGACCGGUACUGACGCUGAGGCGCGAAAGCGUGGGGAGCAAACGGG
rnacentral:rRNA from 1 species